GACGAACGCUGGCGGCGUGCUUAACACAUGCAAGUCGAACGGUAAGGCCCUUCGGGGUACACGAGUGGCGAACGGGUGAGUAACACGUGGGUGAUCUACCCUGCACUUCGGGAUAAGCCUGGGAAACUGGGUCUAAUACCGGAUAGGACUCCGGACUGCAUGGUCUGGGGUGGAAAGCUUUUGCGGUGUGGGAUGGGCCCGCGGCCUAUCAGCUUGUUGGUGGGGUGAUGGCCUACCAAGGCGACGACGGGUAGCCGGCCUGAGAGGGUGACCGGCCACACUGGGACUGAGAUACGGCCCAGACUCCUACGGGAGGCAGCAGUGGGGAAUAUUGCACAAUGGGCGCAAGCCUGAUGCAGCGACGCCGCGUGAGGGAUGACGGCCUUCGGGUUGUAAACCUCUUUCAGCAUCGACGAAGCGAAAGUGACGGUAGGUGCAGAAGAAGGAUCGGCCUACUACGUGCCAGCAGCCGCCGUAA
rnacentral:rRNA from 1 species